rnacentral:rRNA from 1 species
AAUUGAACGCUGGCGGCAUGCCUUACACAUGCAAGUCGAACGGUAACAGGUCUUCGGACGCUGACGAGUGGCGAACGGGUGAGUAAUACAUCGGAACGUGCCCAGUCGUGGGGGAUAACUACUCGAAAGAGUAGCUAAUACCGCAUACGAUCUGAGGAUGAAAGCGGGGGACCUUCGGGCCUCGCGCGAUUGGAGCGGCCGAUGGCAGAUUAGGUAGUUGGUGGGAUAAAAGCUUACCAAGCCGACGAUCUGUAGCUGGUCUGAGAGGACGACCAGCCACACUGGGACUGAGACACGGCCCAGACUCCUACGGGAGGCAGCAGUGGGGAAUUUUGGACAAUGGGCGAAAGCCUGAUCCAGCAAUGCCGCGUGCAGGAUGAAGGCCUUCGGGUUGUAAACUGCUUUUGUACGGAACGAAAAAGCUCCUUCUAAUACAGGGGGCCCAUGACGGUACCGUAAGAAUAAGCACCGGCUAACUACGUGCCAGCAGCCGCGGUAAUACGUAGGGUGCGAGCGUUAAUCGGAAUUACUGGGCGUAAAGCGUGCGCAGGCGGUUAUGUAAGACAGAUGUGAAAUCCCCGGGCUCAACCUGGGAACUGCAUUUGUGACUGCAUGGCUAGAGUACGGUAGAGGGGGAUGGAAUUCCGCGUGUAGCAGUGAAAUGCGUAGAUAUGCGGAGGAACACCGAUGGCGAAGGCAAUCCCCUGGACCUGUAGU